rnacentral:tRNA from 1 species
AGGAUAGAGCAGCCAGGAGUGCUCGGGAGGCUCAUAACCUUCAGGUCGGUGGUUCAAAUCCACCUCCCGCUA